rnacentral:rRNA from 1 species
CUGGAAACAGAGAAGUGCCUCGCAAGAGGAAUUCGGAGACAGGUGCUGCAUGGCUGUCGUCAGCUCGUGUCGUGAGAUGUUGGGUUAAGUCCCGCAACGAGCGCAACCCUUGUCUUUAGUUGCCAUCAUUAAGUUGGGCACUCUAAAGAGACUGCCGGUGUCAAACCGGAGGAAGGUGGGGAUGACGUCAAGUCCUCAUGGCCUUUAUGACCAGGGCUACACACGUACUACAAUGGCAGGUACAAAGGGCAGCCACUUAGCGAUAAGGCGCGAAUCCCGUAAAACCUGUCUCAGUCCGGAUUGGAGUCUGCAACUCGACUCCAUGAAGUUGGAAUCGCUAGUAAUCGCAGAUCAGCACGCUGCGGUGAAUACGUUCCCGGGCCUU